rnacentral:rRNA from 1 species
UACGUAGGGGGCAAGCGUUGUCCGGAAUUAUUGGGCGUAAAGGGCGCGCAGGCGGCUGCUCAAGUCAGGCGUGAAAGGCCUGGGCUCAACCCGGGAAUUGCGUUUGAGACUGGGCUGGCUUGAGUGCGGGAGAGGAUGGUGGAAUUCCCAGUGUAGAGGUGAAAUUCGUAGAUAUUGGGAAGAACACCGGUGGCGAAGGCGGCCAUCUGGACCGCAACUGACGCUGAGGCGCGAAAGCGUGGGGAGCAAACAGG